AAAAAGACAAACCCUGGUUUUCGUGCCCAACGUUUGACUGUUCGUCUUAUUUGAAAAAAUUAUGAAAAAAUUAAAAAGAUAAGUCACGCAUAAAAUAUUAAUCAUGUUUUAUCAUCUAACAACAAUAAAAAUACGAAUUAUAAAAAAAUUUCAUAUAAGACAGACAGUUAAAGUUGGACACGGAAACCCAGGGUUUGUCUUUUU
rnacentral:pre_miRNA from 1 species